AGUGAACGCUGGCGGUAGGCCUAACACAUGCAAGUCGAACGGCAGCACAGUAAGAGCUUGCUCUUACGGGUGGCGAGUGGCGGACGGGUGAGGAAUACAUCGGAAUCUACUUUUUCGUGGGGGAUAACGUAGCGAAACUUACGCUAAUACCGCAUACGACCUACGGGUGAAGGCAUGGGAUCUUCUGACCUUGCGCGAUUGAAUUAGCCGAUGUCGGAUUAGCUAGUUGGCGGGGUAAAGGCCCACCAAGGCGACGAUCCGUAGCUGGUCUGAGAGGAUGAUCAGCCACACUGGAACUGAGACACGGUCCAGACUCCUACGGGAGGCAGCAGUGGGGAAUAUUGGACAAUGGGCGCAAGCCUGAUCCAGCCAUACCGCGUGGGUGAAGAAGGCCUUCGGGUUGUAAAGCCCUUUUGUUGGGAAAGAAAAGCAGCAGGUUAAUACCCCGCUGUUCUGACGGUAACCAAAGAAUAAGCACCGGCUAACUUCGUG
rnacentral:rRNA from 1 species